rnacentral:misc_RNA from 1 species
CUAUUUUAAAAUGUAUAAUGCCGUUAAUUUUUGACAUAACAUUUGACUAUCCGUCUUAUUCAAAAUAAUUAUACAAAUAUCAUUUAUUUUAUUAUCAAAGAAACUAUAAUAUUAACUUAUACUCUUUUAUAUUUAUAUUAAAUUUAUAAAUAAGAUAAAUGGUCAAACGUUACGUGAAAAGUCAAUGACAUCAUACAUUUUGAAAAGAAU